rnacentral:rRNA from 1 species
AAUCAACGCUGGCGGCGUGCCUAACACAUGCAAGUCGAACGAGAAAGUGGAGCAAUCCAUGAGUAAAGUGGCGCACGGGUGAGUAACACGUGACUAACCUACCUUCGAGUGGGGGAUAACCUAGGGAAACCUGGGCUAAUACCGCAUAACACUUACGAGUCAAAGCAGCAAUGCGCUUGAAGAGGGGGUCGCGGCCGAUUAGCUAGUUGGCGGGGUAAUGGCCCACCAAGGCAGUGAUCGGUAUCCGGCCUGAGAGGGCGCACGGACACACUGGAACUGAAACACGGUCCAGACUCCUACGGGAGGCAGCAGUGGGGAAUUUUGCGCAAUGGGGGAAACCCUGACGCAGCAACGCCGCGUGGAGGAUGAAGUCUCUUGGGACGUAAACUCCUUUCGAUCGGGACGAUAAUGACGGUACCGGAAGAAGAAGCCCCGGCUAAUUCGUGCCAGCAGCCGCGGUAAUACGAAGGGGGCGAGCGUUGUUCGGAAUCACUGGGCGUAAAGGGCGCGCAGGCGGCCAUCUUUGCCAGGCGUGAAAGCCCCGGGCUCAACCUGGGAACGGCGCUUGGGACGGGGUGGCUGGAGUUCG